UUUUAUACUCAUAGCAAUACGUAUAAUAUAUUGUAUUACAUCAUAAUCAGUAUUAACUACAAAUUAUGUAAGUACAAAAACGCUACAAUAUUUCAAUAACGUCUCGACUUGCGUAGUGAUGAAUUUCAGACGAUUAGACUUAAGCCUAAAUAUCUUAAAUAGUAGAAACAAAUUGGCAAUGUAGUAACGAUCGGUGAAAGAAGAUAUAUAGAGACAAGCUAUUGUUAAACGCACAUAUAUAUAAACAAGUAAGUGACAGUGAGUAAUGCUCGGGAAUGCAUUGAGAGUCGGUGGCAAAGAAACGACAAUGACAUCAAUCAUCAGCCGCACGGAGGAAGGUCCUGCACCGGCUUUUUUUAUACACAUGUGACGUACAAUAUGAUAAGAUACCGUUUCUGAGAUAGCUAGUUAUGUCCUUCGCUGAUCAUCUAUUUUGAGCAGUGGAAAGACUUUUAGACCAGUACUUUUAACCUUUGAAAAUGGUAAAAAGAGAAAAAACCAAAGAAAGAGAAUACAACGAAAAUGAAAGGACAAAUAAAUUACGAGCAAUCUGAGGUCGGGAAAGUGGUGGUGGUUGUAAGGGUAAAAAACUGUUUAUCUCGAUUUCUGGCUUAACUACAAGUUUUAUGGAAAGAAGUUCAAUGGCAAAGUUAUAGUUUCUAAAAAGAUCUACAACAUUUAUAUUUACACUUUUUUCGCAUAACUUCAAAAUAAAUGUGAAAAAUU